AGCUACCUAGCUUAGUGGUUAGAGCACCUGUCAUGCUCACAGGAGGUCCCACGUUUGAUUCCUGGUGUGGUCA
rnacentral:tRNA from 1 species